rnacentral:snRNA from 1 species
AUGCUCGCUUUGGCAGCACAUAUACUAAAAUUGGAACAAUACAGAGAAAAUUAUCAUGGCCCCUGUGCAAGGAUGACACGCAAAUUCAUGAAGCAUUCCAUAUAAAA